rfam:Taenia asiatica genome assembly, scaffold: TASK_contig0007134
GACUCCGUGGAGCAACGGUAGCGCGUCUGACUCCAGAUCAGAAGGUUGAAUGUUCAAAUCACGUCAGGGUCA